rnacentral:rRNA from 1 species
AUUGAACGCUGGCGGAAUGCUUUACACAUGCAAGUCGAACGGCAGCACGGACUUCGGUCUGGUGGCGAGUGGCGAACGGGUGAGUAAUGUAUCGGAACGUGCCCGGUCGUGGGGGAUAACGUAGUGACAAUCACGCUAAUACCGCACACGACUGAUGGAUGAAAGCGGGGGAUCGCCAUACCCCGCGCGAGUGGUGCGGCCGAUAUCAGAUGAGGUAGUUGGUGGGGUAAAGGCCCACCAAGCCAACGACCUGUAGCUGGUCUGAGAGGACGACCAGCCACACUGGAACUGAGACACGGGCCAGACUCCUACGGGAGGCAGCAGUGGGGAAUUUUGGACAAUGGGCGAAAGCCUGAUCCAGCCAUUCCGCGUGCAGGAUGAAGGCCCUCGGGUUGUAAACUGCUUUUGUACAGAACGAAAAGGUUUCUACUAAUACUAGGAGCUCAUGACGGUACUGUAAGAAUAAGCACCGGCUAACUACGUGCCAGCCGCCGCCGUAA